GGUGUGGCUCAGUGGUAGACUACUUUUCUAGUAUGUGUUAGGCCCUGGGUUCAAUUCCCAGUACCA
rnacentral:tRNA from 1 species